AUAAUGUAAUCUGAAAACUGCUGCCUCAGCUUGUAUUCUGUCUAUAAUGGAGUGAAAUGGAAAUUUCUAAGUGACCCCAAACUUUUGACCGGUAGUGUAUCUGGAUCACAUUUUGCUACCUUCCAAUUUGCGACUGAAAUAGACACUUACUGAAAACUAAGGUUUGCCUUCCAAUCUAUUGAGGUGUUGCACAUUCUUUUUCUAUUAAUUUAAACUGUUUGUUUGUGGGUUGUUUGUACUUAUUUGGUCACUGCACCUUAUAGUGCCUACACACUACACAGCUUUCCUUUAUUUGUGUUUUCUGUUUGUCAAGUUAAAGAUGGCUAAAGUUCAUAUGACUUUGUAUUAGGAUGACUGCUGUAAAACAAAUGAGCCUUAAACAGAUUUUUUUCCUCUCUGUGAUUGUUGACAAAGAUUUUGGAAAUGGCAAAAUGUAAAUAAGAUUAUGCUUCUUUAAAUAUGAAAGAUAGCUUAAACAUUUUAAAUACAUUUUUAUGAUUGCAAAUUUGCUAAAUGUAUGUGAUUUUGGAAAUGUAGCAAAGUUAUUCUGACAAAUAAAGUUGAGAUUCAAAUCUGUUGGAUUGUCCCGUUAAAAUAAGGUGAUGGUUCAAUAACAGAACAUAACAAAAUUUAUAAUAGUAACAUACA